UGUUCCAUCUCCUUUAUUCUAGAUUCUUUCAGUUGCAAGAUAAAUUCUCAUCCAACUUUUCCUUUCCUCUUUUGUUCGCUAUGUUUAUAACUCCUCCGGAUAAAAAAAAAAAAGUCCAUUUCCUUUAUUCUAGAUUAUUUCAGUUGCAAGAUAAAUUCUCAUCCAACUUUUCCUUUCCUCUUUUGUUCGCUAUGUUUAUAACUCCUCCGGAUAAAAAAAAAAAAUCCAUUUAGCCUUUUCUUUCUUACAUAAAAAAGAAUCCACUUAGCAAAUCAAGAAAAAAUUAAUUUUAUUUUUUCAUGUUUACCCUUAUAUGAUCAAAUUUUAAUGCACAUUUAAUUAGGGUAACUUAGCCAAAUUACCUAUAGGAGUUAAUAUUUUUUGGUGUGCAAAUGACUAAGUGGACGUUUUUUUUAUCCGGACGGAUUAAUGUUUUUCUUCUUUGAAAGGAGGUUUGGUAUGUGUAAAUUGUUGAUUGGGGGUAGAUAACCAUGAACAAACAAAUUAUAGUAGUAAUUUCAGACUUCUUUUUUAAACUAAUAGUCCCGUCACUUUCUUCCAUCCACUCUUCUCUGUUAAUACGUUUGAUCGAAACAUUUUAGCUACAUAUUAAUUGUAAAAUUUAUAGUUAUGGAUGGUCAUGUUUUAAAAUAUUCUGCUCAAAAUCAUCGCAUUAGUUCUUUUUUUAAUGUAGAACUAUUUUGAUUGGUGUUACUUCAGUAUAGCUUGACUAAAGAGUAAUCAUGGAUUCAGUGUUCCUUUGUCCCCUGUUUUGACACGAUAAGAAAGAAAUUUGAGUUCUUAAUGCUUCUCCAUGCUCAUCGAGAUGAACCAAUGUCAGUCUGUUUUACUCCCAAGCACACCAAGUUCUUGAUGGAGCACAUUCUAAGUCUCGGCUGAGAACUUUGAUUGAUUGAGGGAGAAUGUACAACUUCAUAGUGAGAACUUCAUGCGUGCUUUUUGUUUCCUUGAAGCGGAGCUAGAAAGACAUGGAUUGAGUUGUUAUGGCCAGUAUGAACAACUCUUUUUUUUUUGCUUAUGUUAGCUAUUGGGAGUUUACUUUUAUCUCAACUGCAAAUGAUUAGAAAAUCAAUUUGAUUGAAAUCCUUUGUGAUUUUCAUAUUUUCACCUCAAGAUCCUUUUUAACUUUCACCUAUUUUUUCUAAAUCUGACAAUUCCUUUGAACUUGAAUAAAUUGUGGAAGCGUAGUGCAAUAAGACCUUAUUACUAUUGGACACCUCGAAAGAAAAUAAUACUUUUCGUUUCCUUUUUAAUAUUUGUGUUUGUAUACCAUUUUGAAUGUAUUUUGCCUAGCCAUUAUGAGACAAAUAGUCUUGUGGUUGAAUGAUUCUCCAUGUAUUUGAGGUUGGCUAUUGGAAUUACAAGAGUUGGCUUGCUUUGUUGUUUCAAAAUUUUUUGGGUAAUUUACAAGACAACAUUUGUGACAGUGGCUCAACUGGAGCUAUGUCUUAUUAUCAAGUCACGGAGAAGAAGCCCGCUUGAUUAUUAUGCUUCAACUACUUUAUGAAAUCAAGGCAGUUAACUGUUCUGAGGGUAAGAACUACAUGAAGGAAUAGCUUUCAUUUCUUUCAAGAUCAAGAACUACAUGUAGCAAUAUCUUUCAAGAUCAAGAACUACAUGUAGCAAUAUCUUUCAUCUCUUUCAGAUUUGGAAACUGUUAGAGCUCUGGAACAGCUGUGAUCCACAUUGCAUUUCCUUGGAUAGAUUUUUUGAGACUGAGUUGUUAGAAUGUUCUUCUUCUGUGCCUCAAAAAGUCGAGUUUGACUUUUGAUCAACUUCUUUGAAUUAUUUAUUUGUUUAGAUUAUCUUGAACAUUCACAUGCUGUCUUUUUAAUCACUGGAAGGAUAUGAACUUGUUCUGCAUUCUCAACUUAAACAAGUCCUUAUAUUGAAAAAGCCAUUUAGUCCUCAAUAAAAGUAUAUUGCGUGAAAACGCAUGCCAAGAA